rnacentral:lncRNA from 1 species
GCAAUUCCCAAAGGAAGCUACCUCUUGAGCAUAAUGUUACAGGAGCUAUACUGUCAGGGAAGAGUUCUGGUUUUCCUAAACCAGUCUACCCACACUUAAAUUUCACUGGCAGGAGGUUUCAUAUUUCAGCUCCCUACCAUAAACCAUUGCUCUAGAACAAAUAUCCAAGGCAAAAAUAAAAGUUGGCCCUUUGCACUUCAAGCCUUAGUGCCACAGGCUUUGAAAACCUGCUGCAUCAGCCAGGGCCUCGCUUGGGCCUUGCUCAGAAAACAGUUGAACUUUUGUCCUCCCACUGGGAAUGUACGUGGCAAGAUGUGCUUUGCAGCAGUGUAAAGAACUGGGCUGUUCUCUGGAUGCAAUAUGAUAUAAAGAAAAAUCAAGAACGACAGUAGAAACACUCUGUGCUCAAAGUAGGACAGCAUGCCACACCCCGGGAGAAAAACACAGAAGUGUGCGUGCAGCAUAUCUGUGAGGCUGACUGCAAUUUCUCCCAUGCUGUAGGCACGCCAAACCUAGCAAGUCGCCCUGGGAACCACUGCCCGCGGCUGCUGCCGACUAUCGCCAGCCAUCAAAUUGGCAGCAUUUGGCAUCUGCCAGUGAGAGAAGCUGCUAGAUCAAGUGCUGUCGGUUGGACCGUGAGCUUGCUGAGGACUGGUGAGCACUUAGGAAGGCAAUCAGGUGAUGCAGUGGGUUCGCAGAGGUGCAUUGCAGCUAGCUGUACUGAAUCCACACAGUCCCCUUAUCUGAAGAGCGAAGGAGGAGCCUCCAGUUCAAGAUCUUGUGACAGCAUUUUUUGA